CUCGGUGUGACCCACUUCACGCACAAAGGCCAGCCUAGAUCUAAGGGAGCCGACGAUGAGGCUGGAAUCCCAGGCCUAUCCCUGAAGGAAGGGCGCAGGGGAGGACAAGGGAAACCCAACAAGCUGCUCUGCACUUGCAAUUGGAAGACAAAACUACACCUCCCAGGAAGCAGUUCGGCCCUUGCCCGCCCCCUCCCCGCGCUCCGCCUUCCUCGCCCCAUCCCUUCCCGGCCUGGCGCGUAUAUAAGGGCCAAAUGGUCCCGCCGAGAGCAGAGCGUGGAGGUGGCGCGGGCGCGGCGGUGGACCUGGGGGUCGUCACUCCUGCAGCUGGCAGCCGCCGCUGGGCGCUUCCUGUCGCAUCUCUCUUGCCCGGCGGGCGCCCAUCCCGCCCCGCCCCGGCCCGUGGACCUGCAAACCGAGUCUCAGAGCGGAUUUGCCCUAGGGGCUUUCACGAGCUUAGCAGAGGGGUUCCCGGCGGGGUUCCCUGGGGUCACGGGGCGCGAUGAGCAGCGAAGAAAGGAGGCGAGGAGCUGCGUUCGGGCUGGGUGCUCUCUGAACGCGAGGAGGCGGGAUGCGCUCGCCGGGGUCCAUGAUGUGCUCGGCGCCCGUCCCUGGGCCCGGGAAUGCGGCCGCUGGGGAACCCGGGCCAGGGAAUUCGCCCGCGAUCUCCGCGGAUCCCAGGACUGCCAGCGCUUUGGCCCUAGAUGGACGGUGGGGAAUGGGGUAGGGGGCUCCGGAACCCCUAACGUGGAUUACUUGGUGCAUAUCGCCCGGGCAUGGAAGACCCACCACCUCGUUUCCACCCGUGGAUUGAUGCCUUCUGCCGAACAGGUCGCUUACCUGGAGGUGGAACCAGAGAUUCGUGGCUGCUGUGGGUAGGUGCUUCUGACGGGGAAAGAAGGACAAGAUGAGAGGCCUGGAAGGAAGGACCGAUACAGGGCUGUUCUUCCUCGCCCACGCUUCCCACCAGGAACUUCUGUGGAGCCAGAGUUUGCCGCCAGAACCCCCACAGGACCUGGGUGAAACAGGACCAUCUCUUAAGAGGCAAGAGCUCUUGAUUUGAUUGAGGAUUCUUAUUUUGGAGAACAAAGCAACUUCCAGAUUUGAGAAGACCUGCAGUUGAAGAAGACACCAUUGUCCCGGAUCCCUUGUUCUUCCUUCGCGUGGGAAAUGUUUCUUGGCGGGUGCCUGGUCUUAAGACUCCCCCACACCGGCCCCGGGGAAGCCAAGGACUUUCUGCCACACCCUUCCUCGCCCCCCACCUCCCACGUCCGCUGUGCCUUUGGACUCGGCAAUUCUUCUUGUUUGCUCCAUUAUCUUCCAGCCGGAUACAGAGUGAAUAGUUAACUACCCACAGGUCAAUGGGGUCUUAAUUUUUGUUCCUGCUCCCUCUACAGAGGCCAGUGUCUGUGUGUUGCUAUGCAAGCGGCCUUGGAAUUGCAUCCCUUCUCAUUGAUUUGGGAUCUGGCCCCCGCAGGUUCCAGAGCAAUGCGGGUCCAGGCAGAAAUUCUUCAGGCUCUCAGGAUGUUGGAGGGGGCGCUGGCCGCGAGCUGGACCAUGAAGGCUGGCGUUCCCCACAUUCAGCUUUCUUGGGUUCGGAUCAUAAGCAGGUGUAGAUCUGGAGAAGCAGAAAAUGAACACAUUUUCUACUGACACCGAUGCACGGUCAGCGGUGAAGACCUUCUCCCAGCUAGCAUUUGGGUUCUGUGUCCAAACGCGGCGCUUCAUGGCAGAGUAUCCAGCCACCAGAGUUGGUGUGUCUUGAGGACCUGAAUUCUUGAGUGUGUGCUGGUGACACAGCCCUCUGACAGUCGAUGGGGCCUCACAAAACACAAGUCCUGCCUUUUCCUUUUCACUCUGUGGCCGUCAUACAUACGGCUAAAAACAUUUCCUAGAGAUCAGUCAUGGUUCAGUCGUGUCCAAAACGCAGAGCCAAAGAUGCAUUUUCUCUUUUCACAGCAAAUGAAUGACUUGCCUUCGGAAAAAGAAUGAAAGCCAGACAUUCUGCAUCUUUCCCGUGUUGUAGAUGAUGCAUUUCGAUGACCACUUUGUGACUUUGGUGUCUUAGAAGGGAAGCAGUGGGGUCCUUGGCAUCUCAGAUUCACCACAAAACAGAUGAGGAGAACUUCUGGCGGAUGGUUUGUGCUUUUGAAAUGGGAGGCUUGUUUGUGGGCUUUUACUUUCCUUCCUUGACCUGCAGACACCUCGUUGCAUUAGAUUCCUUUGGGUUUUAAGAAGCAGAGACUUGCUGAUACUGCUCCGUACGUGCUGGUUUGUUUUGAGUUGCCAUGGACGUAAAGUAGAAAGGAAGCAGCCCGCCGAGGCGCUCUCACCAAGGCCUGCCCAAGAAGCCCAAGUCCUUCCAGAUAGCCAGGGAUAGCAGAACCGAACCACCCUGGCCAUCUUGAUCUUCUGUUUGCACCAGCAUCCACUGUUCCCAGGAUCCUACCAUGGUGAUGAGCUGAGGGUGACUCAGUUGGCCCAGGACUGAGGAGUUUCCUGGGAUGCAGGACUUUUUAGUGCUAAACCUAGGACAGUCCUAAGCAAACUGGAACAACCAGUCACCCUACUGGGUGACUCGAGGACCCUGCCUCUCUUCUACUUUCCCUGCUGUGACUGGCUGAUGCUCUUGAUGGGUCUGGCCAGUCGCCAUUCAAAACUCUUGCGUCAGGCAACUUCAUUGGCCACUGGGCUACCUAUAGAUGGGUGCCCUUGGACCCAGCGCCAACCCAUCUUGACCAAAUUUGUUGUUUCCAGGGUCAUAGGGUUGCAUAAUCUAGAAUAAAAGCCUGGCUGUAAACAACCAGCUGAGACCACUUCCUUCAGAAGACUGCUGUGGACAGGUGGCCCUGGCAGGCAUUCAAGGUAUCAGGGGUUCCUAUCUGAUACAACCCAACUUAUAAAGAUGGUAUUAACCUUUUCUAUUAAGAACCAAACAGUUCAUUAUGAAACAGAAACAAAUAUAGCCACUGGGAACAAGGGGAAAGAGACUGCAGAGUGUGUGUGUGUGUGUGUGUGUGUGUGUGUGUGUGUGUGUGUGUUUACCAUACAAGUUCACACUGUAUAGAAUAAGGAGACAAGAAGAAAAGUCUCCAUCUGAGCUCAACAGAAAACUAAGACCUAAAAUCCUUGGGAUGCUGAUGUCUGGAGUUCAAAGGCAUGAGCUACAGGACUUCCUGAAAUUUCUUUGAACUCUAGGACCCCUUCACACUCUCAGGGGCAUGUAAAUUUGGCCUACGUGUGUACUUUCUGUUUAAGUCUCCUAGAGAACUUUUGAAGUCAACUCAGAUAGCAUUGAAUAGGACCUCCCAGCUCCCCCGUACCGUUCCAGACACUUGACUUUAUCUGGGAUAAGGGAGCGGAACUUGGUGGUAGGAGCCCGGGGUAGAGGAGGAGAAGGUUGUGCCAGCCCCCAUUUGGGGUGUUCCUGACAGGUAAGAACCACCUGAAGGCAAAUUACAGGUUCUUUUCGGGAUAGCUAAAGCCAGGCUUUCAGGAUGGCAUGCCAUCCUGAUGUUGUUGCUUCUUGUCGAAGGGGGAUCAAGUCUUUAUCUUUUUUGUUGAAAGGCAGGCCUGAGCAUCUGGAGUCCUGGAACAUGAGCCUUCAGCUAAUCAUGUUCAUCUUACAUGAUGUGGCCACCGGGGAAUCUUCGCCUGCUAAGAUAGAGAUGAGCAGGCAAACAUCUAGAAACUACCCUCUCAUUACACAUGCGUGGAGACCAAGACCCAACAUGGUGUGUCUGGGUCUUCACCCCGGUUCCGACUUUCCCUGCCUUCAUGGCCAUUGAAGGAAGGCUAGUCAGCUCCCGGGUGCCACUUUUCUUUUUCAAAAGGUGGACUCACUUCAGAUGUUACCUUCAUCUGUAUCCCACAGAUAUCCCUUGGUUCCAACAGAAGUCCCACGAUUGUGCCAAAAGCAACAACUUUCUCUUUUUCUCUCUUUUCUUCUCAUCCAUAUAGAAUCCCAGAAUCCCAAGAGCCUGAUGGAGUCUAAAAGCAUCCCUCUUAUCCCCGAUCUACCUCUGACUAAUGCAGGAAUUCCCUUUCCAACAUUGGAUGAGGGAUGGUCCAGCCCUGGGGGAGGCAGCCUUUCUGGCAGAGUAGCGGAAGAGAACUGUGAGAGAAGGUUGGAUGAUAUUCAACCUGGUGGGGAAGCAGAAUUUUAAAGAGCAACUCACAGGCUGCCAAGUGUCCAUGAAUGUUGAUUUCUCCAUCAGAUAUUGAGCCAAAUGCAUCUUAUUUCUGGGCCCAGGUGCAUGUCUUAUGCUGAUAAAAAAAAACAAAAACAAAAGAGUGGGGAGACCAGGAGACUUGAGUGUCUCAGAAAGCCCCUCUUCUUGGUUCCUUCCAGGUAAAAUGAGUGAGUCAGGCCACACGCUUCCCAAAGCCUCUGCCAGCGCUGCCAUCCACAGGGCUGCCAUAUUGGAUGCAGUUCAUGACAAAGGAUUUGCUACUUUUUGUUCUCUCUGGCUCUCCUCCUGCCUUCCCUUCAGCUUGCUCCAAGAUCAUGU
rnacentral:lncRNA from 1 species